rnacentral:hammerhead_ribozyme from 1 species
AUCCAGCUGACGUUUCCCAGAUAGGAUGAAACGCUUGUCAAACUGGAU